AGUGAACGCUGGCGGUAGGCCUAACACAUGCAAGUCGAACGGAGUGGCGGACGGGUGAGGAAUAUAUCGGAAUCUACUCUGUCGUGGGGGAUAACGUCCGGAAACGGGCGCUAAUACCGCAUACUAUCAGAUGAGCCUAGGUCGGAUUAGCUAGUUGGUGGGGUAAAGGCCCACCAAGGCGACGAUCCGUAGCUGGUCUGAGAGGAUGAUCAGCCACACUGGAACUGAGACACGGUCCAGACUCCUACGGGAGGCAGCAGUGGGGAAUAUUGCACAAUGGGCGCAAGCCUGAUGCAGCCAUGCCGCGUGUAUGAAGAAGGCCUUCGGGUUGUAAAGUACUUUCAGCGGGGAGGCGUUACCCGCAGAAGAAGCACCGGCUAACUCCGUGCCAGCAGCCGCGGUAAUUC
rnacentral:rRNA from 1 species